AACGAACGCUGGCGGCAUGCCUAACACAUGCAAGUCGAACGAGACCUUCGGGUCUAGUGGCGCACGGGUGCGUAACGCGUGGGAACCUGCCCUUAGGUUCGGAAUAACUCCCCGAAAGGGGUGCUAAUACCGGAUAAUGUCUUCGGACCAAAGAUUUAUCGCCUUUGGAUGGGCCCGCGUUGGAUUAGCUAGUUGGUAGGGUAAAAGCCUACCAAGGCGACGAUCCAUAGCUGGUCUGAGAGGAUGAUCAGCCACACUGGGACUGAGACACGGCCCAGACUACUACGGGAGGCAGCAGUGGGGAAUAUUGGACAAUGGGCGAAAGCCUGAUCCAGCUAUGCCGCGUGAGUGAUGAAGGCCUUAGGGUUGUAAAGCUCUUGUACCCGGGAUGAUAAUGACAGGACCGGGAGAAUAAGCACCGGCUAACUCCGCG
rnacentral:rRNA from 1 species